rnacentral:rRNA from 1 species
UGGGGAAUUUUGCACAAUGGGGGAAACCCUGAUGCAGCGACGCCGCGUGAUUUAGAAGGCCUUCGGGUUGUAAAAUUCUUUUCUAUGGGAAGAAAAUGACAGUACCAUAGGAGUAAGGACCGGCUAAUUACGUGCCAGCAGCCGCGGUAAUACGUAAGGUCCGAGCGUUGUCCGGAAUCAUUGGGCGUAAAGGGUACGUAGGCGGGUAAGCAAGUUAGAAGUGAAAUCCUGUAGCUCAACUACAGUAAGCUUUUAAAACUGCUCAUCAUGAGAUAUGGAAGGGAAAGUGGAAUUCCAAGUGUAGCGGUGAAAUGCGCAGAUAUUAGGAGGAAUACCGAUGGCGAAUGCGACUUUCUGGCCAUAAUCUGACGCUGAGGUACGAAAGCGUGGGUAGCAGACAGG